rnacentral:rRNA from 2 species
GGUGAGUAACACGUGAGUAACCUGCCCCUGACUCUGGGAUAAGCGUUGGAAACGACGUCUAAUACUGGAUAUGACUGCCGGCCGCAUGGUCUGGUGGUGGAAAGAUUUUUUGGUUGGGGAUGGACUCGCGGCCUAUCAGCUUGUUGGUGAGGUAAUGGCUCACCAAGGCGACGACGGGUAGCCGGCCUGAGAGGGUGACCGGCCACACUGGGACUGAGACACGGCCCAGACUCCUACGGGAGGCAGCAGUGGGGAAUAUUGCACAAUGGGCGAAAGCCUGAUGCAGCAACGCCGCGUGAGGGAUGACGGCCUUCGGGUUGUAAACCUCUUUUAGUAGGGAAGAAGCGAAAGUGACGGUACCUGCAGAAAAAGCACCGGCUAACUACGUGCCAGCAGCCGCGGUAAUACGUAGGGUGCAAGCGUUGUCCGGAAUUAUUGGGCGUAAAGAGCUCGUAGGCGGUUUGUCGCGUCUGCUGUGAAAUCCCGAGGCUCAACCUCGGGCUUGCAGUGGGUACGGGCAGACUAGAGUGCGGUAGGGGAGAUUGGAAUUCCUGGUGUAGCGGUGGAAUGCGCAGAUAUCAGGAGGAACACCGAUGGCGAAGGCAGAUCUCUGGGCCGUAACUGACGCUGAGGAGCGAAAGCGUGGGGAGCGAACAGGAUUAGAUACCCUGGUAGUCCACGCCGUAAACGUUGGGCGCUAGAUGUAGGGACCUUUCCAC